UAUCAAGAGAAGCGGAGGGACUGGCCCGAUGAAGCUUCAGCAACAGAUUGUUUCAAUACUGUGCUAAUUCCAGCAAGGUGACCUUGAGAGAUG
rnacentral:ncRNA from 1 species